GUUGAGUCAUUCAUUGCUCUUUAAAAACUUGCUUUGUACUAUGACUAAUUUUCUCCAGUUUUGUUGAAAUGAAAUAAGUCAGCUUCUGUUACCUGCUUAACGUUUCCUUUAUUUAUGCAAUUGCUAACUGUUUCUGGAGGGGCCCCUUUCUAGCCCUGAUGAACAGAGGUUUUGAAGCAGCUGAGAGCUGCUUUGCACAGAUUGAUCGAGGUAAUAGAAGCCAAUAUCCUGAAUCCCAGGCUUGUGACCAGCCACUAAACCAGUACCCAAAGGACAGGAGUGCUCCAAGCAGCAGUAGCGAAUGUCAUCUCCCAGUAAACCUGCCCAGAGGAAAAUGGAAAAGUACACUCAAAGAUAGCGAUUGCCUAACUCACAGUGCAAAGCCUCAAUGACACAACUCCACAUUUUUAUUUUGCACUUAAGAUUGUCUCUAAUAUUUCCAGUUGAUAGGUAAAUGCUGCCUUUUGUAACAAGCUCUCCUGAAGCCUUACUUGAUCAUCAUUGAUUACAAGGUAAAUCUCAUAAUCAGAGACUCUUCUAAAUGCUGAAGGAUUGCUGGGGUUCAGAAGGGUCUAUCUCGCUUUAUAUGUGACUCAAUUUCAAAUGAAGUUCAAUAUUCUUCAUAAAUAUCCUAAAACUUAUUCCUGUCAGUGGAUAAAACUUUUCUGAAGAAGAAGGUAUAUUUUUGUUGUUAUAGAAUUUAAAGAAGAACAUGAACUUAGAAGGGUUUCAGUCCCCUUUUGAGAGGGAAUUUCUUUAGAAAUUAUGGAAAAUAGACUUUCUUGAAAAUACAUUUCUAUACAAAAGGAAAUUCAAUGUGAGAAUAAAGAAAGAGAACAUUUUCCCAGAGCUGCAAAUCACUGGGGGCUGCCUUCCAGGAGAAGAAACUUGAUGUUCCCACUGGGAGCUGACCCCACAUAUGACUCUCGGCAGGACCAAGCAUGACCACCAACAGAUACACGGUCAGAGCCAAACACAAGCCUGCAGGGGAAUGCGAUGCGAUGAGCAGCUGCCACUGCUGAAAACUUUCUUUGUAGACCCUGACACCUGGCUUCCUUCACUGCAAAGCCUGACCUCCUCCUCCAGGUCGCCACGGGAGACGCAUCAGUGUGGCAGGCGCUGCAGCGUGGAGGCAUUGCGUGAGAACCGGGAAGAGAACCUGACUGCAAGCCAGCUCUGCGCAAAUGUGAAACAAAUGUCAGCCUUUCAAUAG
rnacentral:lncRNA from 1 species